GGGCCUGUGGUCUAGGGGUAUGGCGUCUGCUUUGCAUGCAGAAUAUCGGGGGUUCGAUUCCCUCCGGGUCCA